rnacentral:rRNA from 1 species
AGCGAACGCUGGCGGCAGGCCUAACACAUGCAAGUCGAACGAACCUUUCGGGGUUAGUGGCGGACGGGUGAGUAACACGUGGGAACGUGCCUUUAGGUUCGGAAUAACUCAGGGAAACUUGUGCUAAUACCGAAUGUGCCCUUCGGGGGAAAGAUCUAUCGCCUUUAGAGCGGCCCGCGUCUGAUUAGCUAGUUGGUUGAGGUAAUGGCUCACCAAGGCGACGAUCAGUAGCUGGUCUGAGAGGAUGAUCAGCCACAUUGGGACUGAGACACGGCCCAAACUCCUACGGGAGCAGCAGUGGGGAAUCUUGCGCAAUGGGCGAAAGCCUGACGCAGCCAUGCCGCGUGAAUGAUGAAGGUCUUAGGAUUGUAAAAUUCUUUCACCGGGGACGAUAAUGACGGUACCCGGAGAAGAAGCCCCGGCUAACUUCGUG